AUAGGUGAUUACGGCCUGGGAAAACGAUAGAAAAAAGCCUUUAUUUUGUAAAGUAGCUGUCUUUAAAGUGCAAGUGAAAUAUCGACUUUCAUUCAACUUUAGAAAAACUAUAGUAAGGUAGCGAAGUUCAGAGGAGCGGCAGGCAAGUAAGAAGUUCAUCCAUUGAAGUUGAAGUAAACGAUUGAUCUCUAUCGUAUCAAGUAAAGGGAGUAAGAGAGCCACAUGAAUCGAUCUUCUUUAUUCAAUCUAGAUCCCCCUUGCAAUUGAUCUGUGCGAUAUCGAGUAUGCUAACGCGAAUCUCUAACGGUCGUAAUCAAGUCUCUCAAUCGUUUUCUCCUGUCGUUAACUCUCGAAACUCUUGCAAGGCUCUCAAACGGUCUAACUGUCGGAAACUUUCGUAAUCGUUCCAACCGGUCGAAACUUUCGUUAAUGGUCCAACUGUCGUAACGGUCGCGGGGGUUCGGGGGGACUAAUGGUAUAGAGAUAAUGCUAA
rnacentral:misc_RNA from 1 species